rnacentral:rRNA from 1 species
CCUUAUAGCCAUAUCAUGUUGAAAGCAUCACUUCUCAUCCGGUCACCAAAGUUAUGCAGCGUCGAGCCUAGUUAGUACUUAGAUGGGUAACCACUUGGGAAACCUAGGUGCUGUAAGCA